rnacentral:rRNA from 1 species
CCUACGGGAGGCAGCAGUGAGGAAUAUUGGUCAAUGGGCGGAAGCCUGAACCAGCCAAGUAGCGUGCAGGAUGACGGCCCUACGGGUUGUAAACUGCUUUUAUACGGGAAUAACGCGCCUUACGUGUAGGUCUUUGCAUGUACCGUAUGAAUAAGGACCGGCUAAUUCCGUGCCAGCAGCCGCGGUAAUACGGAAGGUCCGGGCGUUAUCCGGAUUUAUUGGGUUUAAAGGGAGCGUAGGCGGGAUGUCAAGCGUGCUGUGAAAUGUCCGGGCUCAACCCGGGCCUUGCAGCGCGUACUGGCGGGCUGGAGUCCGGGGAAAGCAGGCGGAAUUCGUGGUGUAGCGGUGAAAUGCUUAGAUAUGACGAAGAACCCCGAUUGCGAAGGCAGCUUGCUGCAGCGGAACUGACGCUGAUGCUCGAAAGCGCGGGUAUCGAACAGGAUUAGAUACCCCUGUAGUC